CACAUCACAAGCCCCUCCCACAAUAAUUCACCAUUAAAUACUGGGAAUAUUUCCAUCAUCCUCCAAGAGAAGGACAAACUCCAGGUGUAGCAGCUUAAAUCUGUGUGACUGUUAAAGAUGGAGUUUAUUAAAGAGGAGAUUGAAGACAUGAGUGAUCCAUCAUCUGAGGAACAAACCGACCAAAUAGAAGUGAUGGAGCAAAGACACAAAGUGAAUGAAGUGGAGGAGAAACAUGACUUCAAAACACAAGGAACAAAAGCCAAAAAGCUGCACACAUGCUCUCAGUGUGGGAAAGAGUUUUUCUCAUAAAGCAGGUCUCAGUUAUCAUCUGCACAUUCACUCUGGAGAAAAACCAUUCAGCUGUGAUCAGUGUGGCAAAGACUUUAUU